GUGGGGAAUAUUGGGCAAUGGGCGCAAGCCUGACCCAGCAACGCCGCGUGAAGGAAGAAGGCUUUCGGGUUGUAAACUUCUUUUACCAGGGACGAAACAAAUGACGGUACCUGGUGAAUAAGCCACGGCUAACUACGUGCCAGCAGCCGCGGUAAUACGUAGGUGGCGAGCGUUAUCCGGAUUUAUUGGGUGUAAAGGGCGUGUAGGCGGGACAGCAAGUCAGAUGUGAAAACCAGAGGCUCAACCUCUGGCCUGCAUUUGAAACUGUUGUUCUUGAGUGUCGGAGAGGUAAUCGGAAUUCCGUGUGUAGCGGUGAAAUGCGUAGAUAUACGGAGGAACACCAGUGGCGAAGGCGGAUUACUGGACGAUAACUGACGCUGAGGCGCGAAAGCGUGGGGAGCAAACAGGAUUAGAUACCCGUGUAGUCC
rnacentral:rRNA from 1 species